rnacentral:misc_RNA from 1 species
AAACGCGGAUGACGGGAAACUGUCACGUUCCGUGUGGAGCAGGGGAAAAGCUGGAGAUAACAUCAAAUGCUUACUUAUUGCUAA